UGGUGGAGAGCGAGGUACGUUGGAUCCGUGUGGGGCUCCAGUGGAAAGGGAGUAGCCGUGGUUGGCGGUGGUGUUGGGGAGAGGGGAUGUGAACGAAAAAAAAAAAAAAAAAAAGGGAAAAAAGAAACGCGGCGCUUCGGCUCCGUGGUGUUGACGCGCGGCCGCCGGUCCAAGAGUUUACGUGAAAAAGAUGGCCGCCGACGUUACCUUCUUCGUCGGCGAAGAGUUCACCUCGUUCACCGAGCUGCACCGGCGCAUACAGACGUUCCAGCUGCGCAACUCGGUGCAGCUCUACAUUCGCAGCUCGCGCAAGAUCCAGGCGGCCCAAGUGCGCUCCACGGACGGCUACAACCCCGAGCUCAAGUUUGCCGAGAUCUACUACGCCUGCGUUCGAGGCGGCCGCAAGUUUCAGACUCGAGCGAACGCCAGCAGCAACACCAACGCCCGACACUACGGCCGGGCCGAACAGUCGAGUUCACGCCAGAUCAACUGCCCGUUUCACAUAAAGAUACGCUGCACAAGGGACGGCCAGAAGCUUUACAUUAAGGACUUCAACUCUUCUCAUAAUCAUGGGACGACUGAGCAAGACGCUGUUCUGUCACGGAGCCGCACCCGCCACUACUGGCCAAACAGCGGGAGGCAGUCCAACACGCCACCACCGGCAUCAACGUCGCAGGCAACGUAUUCCACCAUGUCCAAGCCAAAAGCCAGCGUCAUCACAACCAUCGCCUCCAAGGACGGUCAGCGGCAGGUGACGGUCCCGUUGUCCUCAGACGGUACGCUCCCCAAGGAUCCCGUCCUUUUCCAGCUACUCAGUUCCCCGCAGCCAUCAUCCUUAACCUUCCAGAACCUCCUCUUCGUGCCAAAGAACAGUGCUGCCGGUAACAGCGUCCCGAGCCCGCACCCUGCCAUUGUCUUCCAGCCCGGCGCCAACCUCAGCCGGGCAAACAAUGCCGCAUCUGUUGUAAAAGAAGAGCCGACAGACAGCGACGACUGCGACGUCUAUAUCGAGCCCGAAUGUAUCUUGCAGUACGAUGAAGACAAGUGCUUUGAACUGUGCACCACUGACACUAAAGACGGUGCCUGCGGUCCGAACCUGAGGCUCGCCGCCACCGGCCCCAACACCGGACCCAAUUCCGAUUGGAAACUGGGUCACAGGUGCAGUUCACACAGCACGUCCAACGGAGGGACGAAUUCUGGCGUGGUUCUGCAAGCGCUCAAGGCAGUGUUGAACGGCGAGCGUAAUAACACCGCCACGGAGAAACCCAGCAGCGACGGAGAGCCGGUCGCGGAACGUUACGUGGUCGGCCGCUCGGACAUCGAGGCGCUGACUCGUUUCUGCAGCCACUGCGGCGCAAAAUCCCUGGAAAUGAGGAGUGAGAACCAGAAAGACGGGUCGCUCCUGGUCGCAUCCAUCUGCAAGAGCGGGCAUCAGAUUGAAUGGAGGUUUCAACGUCUAUAGCCGUGUCCUAGGGUGUUCGUACACCGUCUGGCCUCUUUUCUAUGAUACGCAUCCAAUUCUCAUGGACCCAAGUGUGUUUUCACAAUUUUUUGUGACACUUUUGUGUGUAAAAAGGAAGCAUGAUGCGAGAAACAGUGCCCACCCGCUAGUCAGCCCUUGUGUUUGUCGUCUGCCUCGUCGCUAUUUUUUCCUUAAGGUAGCUGAGCUGUUGGGUGUAUAACUACCACAUCUGGUCGCAUUUGGUUGUGUAGGUGGACUUGCUUAACGCAUCUCUCUCAAGUUAGUAUGAAGAGCACUAUUUCUGUCAUGUCAUCAUCAUAAAUUCUGAGUUGCGUGGCACUCGUAUGGCGAGUUUAAUUUCCCAUGUUGUGUCAGUUGCUAAGGCUAAUUUAUACACGUAGUUACUGUGUGUCUCGUAGUGUUGUGUUUUUUUAAUUUACACAAUGAAUGGUGAGUGGAAGGCAGUUGUUCGUUUCAUUUCUAAAUGGUGAGACUCAGUGCAUGCACUUCAUUGGUAACAACGGAUGCGAGGGUUUCUAAUUUUGAUGAGACUGGCUUUUUGACAGACAUUUCCCAAGCCUAGCCUAAAUCUCGGGCCUAGCAUCGCGGUCGCUUUCAACUUCCUUUCCAUGAUUUUGAUAUGGUGUUUCACAGCUGCUCAAAGGCAACUCCUAAAGCUCUAGAACAAUGCUUACCGGGUUCUUAUUACAGGUUAUUAUCAGGUCACGUGAAUGGCAACAUCAUCAUUAGUAUUUGCAUAUUUAUUUUGUUGUCACUAUCAUGCCUCUCUCAUCUCUCAGCUCACCGGAGGCAAGCUUCAAGCGCAAAACGGCAGUGUCUUUGAUUAGCAAUAGCACAUUGGAACCAGCGGUCACAGAAGCGCACAUUUCUUUGAUACAGCACAUACCUUCAUCUGCCAUUCAUCUGCCUUUGCCAUUGCGUCUAAAGAAUUCUUAUCACUUGAUUAUUUAUUUCUUCAUCAUCAAUGUUAAUUUUGUAUUCCCAAAGCGAUUCAAGAAGACAUUUCAUAGCCAAGAUUUCACACAUUUUUUAUCGCUACUGGGUGUAUAGAGCAUCUGUACCAGAUGCCUGUGAUUUAUAUGAGUGUGUCAUGCUUGUGACGCCCUCUUGAAAUGCAUUUCUUUUGCGUUGUCAUGUGAUAAGCUUGCUGCCUUUUAGUUUACCUGCUUGACUCACCGUGUCAGUAGCGGUAUCGGUGCCACUCUUGAGUCACCCGGCCAAUAACUAUAGUCAUCUUGCGUCACAUUUUUUGUUGCUUGUUACCGAAUUGUUACCGUUCGUUAUGUCUCUUGUUUUACUUAUAUUGUACACAGAAAUAAGUUUGCCUUGGCAACUGUGUUCUAUAAUUCAAAAGAAGUUAUGCAGGUUCAACGCCUAUGUUCAAGCCUAUGUGAAGUGAAGCCUUUCGCGAACCGGCUCUCUCGAGUGCACAUGCUACACGACCUUGACGCAGGCGCCAGUCGUCUUGAAGCGCCACUUGGUGUCGCCACAAAAGAAGCACGCCGAGCGAGAUUGUGGCCUGAUGGUUAGAGCAUCUUGCUGUUGUGCUGGGAGAGCAAGGUUCAACGUAAUUCUUGUAUUUUCUGCAUGAGGAUUAUUUGGCAAGACAGCAGCAAAUUAAGAGCUGUUCCUAAUUACUGCAUGUCACUGUGUGUGCGACUGCAUGUUUGAGUUAAACUGGUCAGAAAAAGAGAGUGCUUCAAAACUAUUGUGCGCUUUAAGUUCAACAAAAAGAAUCAACAUUGAGUUGUCGGGCACUUUAUGGGGUUGCCAGGGCGUUUGUUAUG
rnacentral:misc_RNA from 1 species